CCUCACGUGUCAAACACGUGCCACAUUCCAACGCCCAAAGCCAAACGUCCUAGUCUCGCGAUUUCCUUCUCCAGCGUCGAAGCGUCGAAGCCCUAGCCUCCUCCGCAGCCAAAGCCCUCGUCGCCUGCGGCCUCCCUCCGAAGCCGUCUCCCUCCCGCUACCUCCCUCCAGCGCCGCCUCCCUUCCUCCGACCUCUAGCGCCGCCUCCCUCCCUCCCACCUCCAGCGCCGCCUCCUCCCAGCGUCGGGGACCUCCAGCGCCGCCCUCGCGAUUUCUUGCGGCCUCCCGUCCUCCACCUCCUGCCGACCUCCAGCGCCGCCUCCUGUUUUGUUUCCAGCAAACCUAUUUUGGUAUUCUCCAGCGACCUCCAUCCUUGCCUCUCUCAACGUGAAAAAGCCCUAGCCUCCCUCCAGCUACCUCCACCGUCUCCACUCUGAAGGCGCGGGCUCUCGCGCCCUAUCAGCCGCUGAAAUCAAUGUUCGUUUGCAACCUGUGGAUCCUUCUUUGAAUUGUUCUGCAGCAGAUGUCGAAGAAGAGGAGUGGGCUAGGAUUUACCUUUGUUUUCUUUGCUAAAGAUUUGUUUUUGACGGUGAUUAGAGGUUGAAGGAGACACACUCUGUACUAUGUCAUGCGAUUAUUACAUACACAUGAGAAGGCAAUACAAUUGAAGGACAUUGUUCCUGCAGCAACCAACACUGUCAACACAAUUUAUAUGGCUGGAGAAAGGAAUCAUUGCUCAGGAUGGGAAAGAUAUGACUUGCUGCACUAGUAGCCGACGCGAGUGCAUCAGUUCACUUCUAGAUGUGGGGAAGUGAGUGCGAAACCUUCGAGCCCGGCAACAUCAUUCACCUCGCUGAUAGAAUAUUCUCUUACCACAAGAACAAUCUGGUGCUUAGGGCUGGCAAGAGAGGCAAAGCUGAGAAGGUUGGUGAAUUCACCAUGCUGUUUGUGGAGACCCCUAACAUAAGCGAGAUCUGAUGGGCACGUGAUCCUAACAAUCCGAAGAAGUUUGUGAAGGAAGCUACUGUGUUGCCACACUCCAGGAUCUUUACUCCCUCAAGAUAAUACCCCUGUAGAUGUUCUUGCUCAAGAAUUCGGAUUGGAUAUUUUGUGCGUUCUUCCAAAGUAGUGUUAAGAAUGGUGGUGGAUUAGGGCAAACAAGAAAUCUAUAGGCCUCAAAAUAUUAUUUAACUUGUGGUGGCUUUGUUACACAAUGAAAAAAAAAACUUUAGCAACUAGUGGAGAAGUUCCCUUCAAAACGAUAAUUCUUGCUAACAGUAUUGAAAAGACUGCUAGGCCAUUUGGAAAGUGUCAGCUUCUCAUAUAUUUCUCACAUUAUGCUUUCUUAUUUUUAUUUUAUUUUUUGAAAAAAAAAUAUAUGAAUUCCGGUCGCAAAAACAAGUUUAUCCAAAAUGUAAACUAAGACAUUGCUCAUAAUUUAAUAUAUCUUAUUGCUUA